rnacentral:rRNA from 1 species
UACAGAGGUCUCAAGCGCUGUUCGGAAUCACUGGGCGUAAAGGGUGCGUAGGCCGCACGGAAAGUCAGAGGUGAAAUCCCGGAGCUCAACUUCGGAAUUGCCUCCGAUACUCCCGUGCUUGAGGACUGGAGAGGAGUCUGGAAUUCACAGUGGAGCAGUGAAAUGCGUAGAUAUUGUGAGGAACACUAGUGGCGAAGGCGAGACUCUGGACAGUUCCUGACGCUGAGGCACGAAGGCCAGGGGAGCAAACGGG